rnacentral:piRNA from 1 species
UCCUGUGAGAAUCUGAUGCAGCCACUGA